rnacentral:rRNA from 1 species
GGCUUGUUGAUUAUAAUUUCAAGUCUGACCUGCCCAAUGAGAAGUUAAAUGGCCGCGGUAUAUUGACCGUGCAAAGGUAGCAUAAUCAUUAGUUUUUUAAUUGGAAGCUAGAAUGAAGGGUUUGAUGAGAAGGUUUCUGUCUCUAAAAGAGUUUAUUAGAAUUUUAUUUUUAAGUAAAAAAGCUUAAAUGUGUAUAGAAGACGAGAAGACCCUAUAGAGUUUUAUAUUUGUAAGGGUAAUUGAAUUGAGGAUUAAGAAUUUAUUUAUUUUGUCAAAUAUUUUAUUGGGGUGAUAGAAAAAUUGGCUAAACUUUUUCUACAUGAGAAACAUUUAUUUAUGAUUUUAUGAUCCUUAGGUUUAGAUUAUAAGAUUAAAUUACCUUAGGGAUAACAGCGUAAUUUUUUUUAGAGCUCUUAUCGAAAAAAAAGAUUGCGACCUCGAUGUUGGAUUAAAAUGAGUUAUUGGUGUAGAAGCUGAAUGACUAGGUCUGUUCGACCUUUAAAAUUUUACAUGAUCUGAGUUUAAACCGGCGUGAG